AAACUGAUAGAGGAUAUUAUCAGUGCAAAGUCAAAAGUACUUCAGAAUCUCAAGAAAGCGGAGAAUUCCUUGUAAAUAUCACAGGAGUGUUGGCAUUUAGAAUAAGAAUUGAAGCUGAGGAGCAAAGCAAUGCUACAGUCAUUGUUAAAAUGAUUAGGAACAAUAUUAUUAAUACAAGAGUGGGGGAUGGUAUUGUUAUAUCAGUGGAGUUAUUGGAGCAACCAACAAAAAG